GACGAACGCUGGCGGCGUGCUUAACACAUGCAAGUCGAACGGAAAGGCCCUGCUUUUGUGGGGUGCUCGAGUGGCGAUCGGGUGAGUAACACGUGAGUAACCUGCCCUUGACUUUGGGAUAACUUCAGGGAACUGGGGCUAAUACCGGAUAGGAGCUCCUGCUGCAUGGUGGGGGUUGGAAAGUUUCGGCGGUUGGGGAUGGACUCGCGGCUUAUCAGCUUGUUGGUGGGGUAGUGGCUUACCAAGGCUUUGACGGGUAGCCGGCCUGAGAGGGUGACCGGCCACAUUGGGACUGAGAUACGGCCCAGACUCCUACGGGAGGCAGCAGUGGGGAAUAUUGCACAAUGGGCGGAAGCCUGAUGCAGCAACGCCGCGUGCGGGAUGACGGCCUUCGGGUUGUAAACCGCUUUCGCCUGUGACGAAGCGUGAGUGACGGUAAUGGGUAAAGAAGCACCGGCUAACUACGUG
rnacentral:rRNA from 1 species